rnacentral:rRNA from 1 species
GAUGAACGCUCGCUACAGGCUUAACACAUGCAAGUCGCGGGGCAGCAUGGGGGUUGCUUGCCACCCCUGAUGGCGACCGGCGCACGGGUGAGUAACGCGUAUCCAACCUGCCCUUCACCACGGGAUAACCCGGCGAAAGUCGGACUAAUACCGUAUGUUGUCCAUUGACGGCAUCCGAUUGGGACGAACGGCUGGGCGGGGAGAGGGUGGGGAUGGGUCCGGUUAGCUUGACGGGGGGGUAACGGCCCACGGGGGGUACGGACGGUAGGGGUGCUGAGAGGAAGGUCCCCCCCACUGGACCUGAGACCCGGCCCAGACUCCUACGGGGGGCAGCAGUAAGGAGUAUUGGUCAAGGGGCGUAGCCUGAACCAGCCAAGUAGCGUGCAGGAGGACGGCCCUAUGGGUUGUAAACUGCUUUUAUGCGGGGAUAAAGUGGCCCACGUGUGGGCUUUUGCAGGUACCGCAUGAAUAAGGACCGGCUAAUUCCGUG